GAGUUUGAUCAUGGCUCAGAUUGAACGCUGGCGGCAGGCCUAACACAUGCAAGUCGAACGGUAACAGGAAACAGCUUGCUGUUUCGCUGACGAGUGGCGGACGGGUGAGUAAUGUCUGGGAAACUGCCUGAUGGAGGGGGAUAACUACUGGAAACGGUAGCUAAUACCGCAUAACGUCGCAAGACCAAAGAGGGGGACCUUCGGGCCUCUUGCCAUCAGAUGUGCCCAGAUGGGAUUAGCUAGUAGGUGGGGUAACGGCUCACCUAGGCGACGAUCCCUAGCUGGUCUGAGAGGAUGACCAGCCACACUGGAACUGAGACACGGUCCAGACUCCUACGGGAGGCAGCAGUGGGGAAUAUUGCACAAUGGGCGCAAGCCUGAUGCAGCCAUGCCGCGUGUAUGAAGAAGGCCUUCGGGUUGUAAAGUACUUUCAGCGGGGAGGAAGGGAGUAAAGUUAAUACCUUUGCUCAUUGACGUUACCCGCAGAAGAAGCACCGGCUAACUCCGUGCCAGCAGCCGCGGUAAUACGGAGGGUGCAAGCGUUAAUCGGAAUUACUGGGCGUAAAGCGCACGCAGGCGGUUUGUUAAGUCAGAUGUGAAAUCCCCGGGCUCAACCUGGGAACUGCAUCUGAUACUGGCAAGCUUGAGUCUCGUAGAGGGGGGUAGAAUUCCAGGUGUAGCGGUGAAAUGCGUAGAGAUCUGGAGGAAUACCGGUGGCGAAGGCGGCCCCCUGGACGAAGACUGACGCUCAGGUGCGAAAGCGUGGGGAGCAAACAGGAUUAGAUACCCUGGUAGUCCACGCCGUAAACGAUGUCGACUUGGAGGUUGUGCCCUUGAGGCGUGGCUUCCGGAGCUAACGCGUUAAGUCGACCGCCUGGGGAGUACGGCCGCGAGGUUAAAACUCAAAUGAAUUGACGGGGGCCCGCACAAGCGGUGGAGCAUGUGGUUUAAUUCGAUGCAACGCGAAGAACCUUACCUGGUCUUGACAUCCACGGAAGUUUUCAGAGAUGAGAAUGUGCCUUCGGGAACCGUGAGACAGGUGCUGCAUGGCUGUCGUCAGCUCGUGUUGUGAAAUGUUGGGUUAAGUCCCGCAACGAGCGCAACCCUUAUCCUUUGUUGCCAGCGGUCCGGCCGGGAACUCAAAGGAGACUGCCAGUGAUAAACUGGAGGAAGGUGGGGAUGACGUCAAGUCAUCAUGGCCCUUACGACCAGGGCUACACACGUGCUACAAUGGCGCAUACAAAGAGAAGCGACCUCGCGAGAGCAAGCGGACCUCAUAAAGUGCGUCGUAGUCCGGAUUGGAGUCUGCAACUCGACUCCAUGAAGUCGGAAUCGCUAGUAAUCGUGGAUCAGAAUGCCACGGUGAAUACGUUCCCGGGCCUUGUACACACCGCCCGUCACACCAUGGGAGUGGGUUGCAAAAGAAGUAGGUAGCUUAACCUUCGGGAGGGCGCUUACCACUUUGUGAUUCAUGACUGGGGUGAAGUCGUAACAAGGUAACCGUAGGGGAACCUGCGGUUG
rnacentral:rRNA from 1 species